rnacentral:lncRNA from 7 species
GGGAAGUCAGGGUUGCCCUGAGCCAGCUGAAGGCUUCCCAGAGCCUGGUUUUGUGUGCAGAACUGCAGGAGACCACAAAGGAUAUCGUGGGAGAGGUGCUGCUGUCGCUGAGGUGCCUGCCCAUCUCCCAGAAGAUGGAGGUCGGGCUGCUCAAGGCGAAAACCACCCCCCCUCGCAGCGCUGCAGAGAAGAGCGUAUACGCGAGGAUAGAUGUUUCCUGCAGACGCCACAGGCAGAAGCACCAGAAAUCCAGGCCGCAGGCACACACUUCACUCAUCAUUUUCAACGAGACCUUCCUGUUCCCCAUGCCCCAGGCUGCAGCGUGGGACUGCUCUGUGCUCAUCUCCCUUUAUGAAGUGGGCCCUGAGCCCAGGCACCUCAUCGGGCAGGCCAGUGUGGGCAGGAGCAUGGCAAGGGAUGCAGCUGGCCAUUGGGACCUCAUGGCCAAGUCCAUCCAGCAGCCUGUAGCCCAGUGGCAUCCGCUCCUCAUUUAGAGGGCAGGACUUCUGCAGCUUCUCGUGGUGGUCUGGCUGAGUUUUCUUGCACAAAUGAGCAGCAAUCACAGUGACUAUAUCUAAAAGAUGAGUCAGAGCUUGACAUACUUGGUAAGAUGCAGGUAACUUUUCCUUUAGCUUCCUCCCACUGCUUCUGCUGCUCCUGGUGGUCCCACGUCACCUUCGGAAGAGCAGUAGGAUCUCAGCAGUGCCCAGGGCUGGAGGAGACUUGUCCCUGUGGCAGGAAAUAGUGCCCGCCCUGCAAUGCCCAUUGCCCUAAGUAGGCAAGAGGAAAAAGGGAUGGGAGGAGAAGGAGUCCUUGCUCCUAUUCAUGAAAUAAGGAGGCACCAAAAGGUGAAGUGAUUUGCCUCAGUUCAAACCAGAUAUGCACGCUGGGACAGACGUGCUGGGAGACCUGGUUAGGCUUGCAUCUGUUAUCUAUCUUAUCGUUUUGAAUUUUGAUGUUUUUUGGCCCUGGAGAAUUUCUGGGGGCACAUUCAUUGUAUGUUGUAAGUGCAAAUAAGUAAAUGUAAAGGCAAAAAGACAUUUUACAGC